GACGGAGGGUGCUAGCGUUGUUCGGAAUCACUGGGCGUAAAGGGCGCGUAGGCGGCCUUGCAAGUCGGUUGGUGAAAGCCCGGGGCUCAACCCCGGAGGUGCGGCCGAGACUGCAGGGCUGGAGGCCGGAAGAGGAGGGUGGAAUACCCAGUGUAGAGGUGAAAUUCGUAGAUAUUGGGUGGAACACCGGUGGCGAAAGCGGCUCUCUGGUCCGGACCUGACGCUGAGGCGCGAAAGCUAGGGGAGCGAACAGG
rnacentral:rRNA from 1 species